rnacentral:lncRNA from 1 species
GUAUUUUUCAUUCUGAGGAAAAAGUUCUCACAGGUUUCAUUUUUGCAUGUCCUUCACCAUUUUAUUAUGCCAUUGUUAAUUUGGAUUGGUUUAAAGUUUGCGGCCGGUAUGUAUCAUUAUCCAAAUACUUCAGGAACUUAACUGCUGCAAUAUACUCUGUACACUAAUUUGAAAAUUAAAUCAUACAGACUCAAACAGUUGUUUGAGAGAGAAGAUUGUAACCAACUUCAAUAAACUUAAUUAACGUUGGUGCUAUGUGUCAAACAUUUUAUAUCAUUAGGUAUGAUUUUCACUUCCUUUCGUCAAUUUUAAAUAUAGUAAACGAUUAAUUUAUUCAUAUUUUCAGUCUUAUAUUGAUAUACGACAUUACGAAACCCAUUCAUGUAUUUGAAGCGGAUCUCUAUUUAAAACAACCUAUGAUUUACAGCAGUUCCGAGGGUACCAUGUUUUUUAUUUGAUUCUUUAUUUUAUUCGGGAGGCGGUUACACACACACACACACACACACACACACACACACACACACCUUAUUAUAACAACUAUGGUAUACAAUCGUUGACUAUACCUAACCUUUUAUUAUUAUACAAUGAUCGAACAGCAACAAGAAACGGGGUUGGUUAUCGCUAAAAUACAACUAAGGCUCUGAAUAAAGUAGUUGUUUCCACCAUAUAUUAUAACAAAUAGUUCUGGAUUAAGAAGCAUGUGCAUCUCAUUAGUUCUAUUUUUGCAAUUAUUUUGUAUAAUAAAUACCGGUAUGCUGGUUCACAAAUGCUGCAUGUAACAUUAAAGUUUUUUUAAAUCUCCGAACAUGUACAGGAUAUUUUUAAUUAUUUUGCAGGUGGCAUGACAAUAUUUUUUCCUACUAUCAACUCACUUGUUCAUUUUUUUAUGUAUGCAUAUUAUGGUCUUUCCGCCAUGGGACCAAAAUAUCAAAAGUACUUAUGGUGGAAAAAGUACAUGACAAAAUUUCAAAUUGUAAGUUUAGUUAUACAGAAACAAGAUAUAUGUUAUUAUCAAAGUAGUUAAAUGUAAAUUUUGGUGGUUUGUAUUUCGUCUGAUAUAUGGUUUUAGGGUUUUACCUUUAAAAUGAUCCAACCAAAGAAUGAUUAUUCUUCUGUCAGUAUCAAUUUUCAAUUAUCAUGAAACACGUUAAGAUGGAAACUUCAUUAACAAUAACACUUUCAACGUCGUGAACUUUUUAAAAUUGAAUCAGGUAUAUUUCUUUUGUUGCUAGAUUUUUGGAUGAACACUUUCUUUUAAUUGUUACUAUCAUACUGAUCGAUAUAAUACUAAAAAGUGUAAACGCUAUGGUGUAAUUCAACCAAAUGUGAACGUGUGACUGUACAAGCCAAUAAUUUUGGUGGUUCUAAACGAUUGGUUAUUUGGGGAAUGGUUGUUUCAGAAGGACGAACAAGGUCUUGAUGAUUAUAAAAAAAAUUAGAAAAAAGACACUAGAACAAAUUAUCCUUGUUUAGUUAAUUAACAACUUUUCUAAACAAUUUAGAGCUUGACAUAAUGUACAUACGUCUGUUGUAGAAGUCUUUGUUUUUCGACUAUUUUUGUCGGUGUACAACUGUCUUAUCGAGGUAUAUUUACAAUCGUCUUUUUAUUAAUAUAAAAACGAAAAAUAACCCAAGUCAUAAACAAACAAAAUAUUUAAAUAUUUUUUUUAGGUUUCUAGAAUGAAAUUAAACAAAACAGUGACAAUAUUUUUGCUGUUGUGAAUCGGUACGUUUACAUUCAUAUUAAAAUUUUGCGGCUCUAUAAAGUAUACUCGUAAUAUGUAUGUAUAUUUGUUUUUUAGAUCCAGUUUGUACUAAUUUUACUACAUAGUUCGCAGUUACUGUUUAUCGACUGUGGGUUUCCACGUCCCAUGGCAUGGAUCUUUGUGAUAGGAUCUGUAACAUUUAUCUUGUUGUUUUCUAAUUUCUACAUUCAAGCCUAUCUGAAAAAUACAAAUAAAAAACAACUUGACAACCGUGCAUCAAACGGACACGUGAAAGAGGAAUAAGAAUCUUCUGUUUCAUUUAGAAUUCUGGUAUUGACCACUAAUGGCAUCUGUAUUAAAGAUACAAGAGAUAUUUCCUAUUUUCUUUAUCUCGUAUUAAAUUGUCUUAGACAAUAUUUUAGAGUUGUUUCUUUAUUGAAAGUAAUCUGUUCAUGCAUCUUUACAUGCAUCUUUACAUGCAUCUAAGCAAUUAAUCAGUAGUAUGUUAAAGGAGGAAGUAUUGCAUCCCUCCUGAUAAAUAAAUAAAUUCGAAAAAAAUCUUUGAUCAGUAAUUUAUUCAGAGCC